rnacentral:rRNA from 1 species
GUGCUUUCUGGUAGAUAUGGCCGCAACC